UACGUAGGGGGCAAGCGUUAUCCGGAUUUACUGGGUGUAAAGGGAGCGUAGACGGCAUGGCAAGUCAGAUGUGAAAGCCCGGGGCUCAACCCCGGGACUGCAUUUGAAACUGUCAGGCUGGAGUGCAGGAGAGGUAAGUGGAAUUCCUAGUGUAGCGGUGAAAUGCGUAGAUAUUAGGAGGAACACCAGUGGCGAAAGCGGCUCUCUGGUCUGUAACUGACGCUGAGGUUCGAAAGCGUGGGUAGCAAACAGG
rnacentral:rRNA from 1 species